rnacentral:rRNA from 1 species
CGGGCCGCUGCAGCAGUGGGGAAUAUUGGACAAUGGGGGAAACCCUGAUCCAGCAAUGCCGCGUGUGUGAAGAAGGCCUGCGGGUUGUAAAGCACUUUCGGUUGGGAGGACUGCUUCUAGCACUAAUAUUGUUGGAAGUUGACGUUACCUUCAGAAGAAGCACCGGCUAACUCCGUGCCAGCAGCCGCGGUAAUACGGAGGGUGCAGCGUUAAUCGGAAUUACUGGGCGUAAGGCGCGCGUAGGCGGCUAGAUCAGUCGGGUGUGAAAGCCCCGGGCUUAACCUGGGAACUGCAUCCGAUACUGUCUAGCUUGAGUACAGGAGAGGAGAGUGGAAUUCCACAUGUAGCGGUGACAUGCGUAGAUAUGUGGAGGAACACCAAUGGCGAAGGCAGCUCUCUGGCCUGAUACUGACGCUGAGGUGCGAAAGCGUGGGGAGCAAACAGGAUUAGAUACCCCCGUAGUC